UUUACUACUUAGCUGUAUGUGGNAUGCAUAAAUCUUCUAAAAAAUAUAGCCGAUCGGUUAGUUCCCAGGGUAUUGGUAAGUUCUUGCUAAUACAUCUGUACUUCUCGAAUGUAUAGUCGGAUAUCGCUUUACGUUANAUCGCAGGAUCUAAGAUAUGCUCGCUAGGUCUGAAAUUACUGUUCCCAGGGCUCUUGUACUACACCGCCCGUCACACCACGAGAGUUUGUACUACCCGUAGUCGGUGGGGUACACUUAUGGAGCCUAGCCGCUAGGUGGGACAGAUGAUUGGGGUGAAGUCGUACGNAUGUAAAACGACAGGCCUAGUGUUAGAUCUGGAACCCGA
rnacentral:rRNA from 1 species